AGCGUAUUCAGGGUCAACCCCCGAUGAAGGAGAGGGAUCAGCCAGUGGUCUAUAGGAUAUGAUUUAAAGGACAUCUGGAACACCCACCCCUCAGCAAAAACAAAUUGCCACCACCACCCUCACAACCGUUCCUCCCCACCCACACCCCCACGCCAGCCUGGAAUUGCGCCUUCAGCCUCUUGCCGGGCAAUGUGCACACCGGCGCUUGCCUGAGUUAUGUACCCUCCAGUGAAAAGGUUUUCCAGAUCCUCUCCUGAGACAGGAAUUUCUCAGGGGGAAGUGGAGACAGCAGAAGCACUGAACCCCACAGAUGAUCGUGGUGAGGAAGAAGUCGUUGUAGGCCAUGCACAGCGUGGUCAGGAACACCGAGUACUCCUUGAAGUCGAUCUCCUGGUCACUGUUCUUGUCCAGGCUCUUCAUCAGGUCAUCAGUGCUGCUCUCCUUCAUCUUCUUCAAGGGCCCAGGAAGAGGGACAGAGGAUAGUUGAGAACUGACCCAGACAACACGCCAUGAGAGCAGUGUGCCAGAGGCCAGAAGCCACCAGAGCCUCCCUUUCUGGGAGAGCCUGCAGCACACCUGUGUGAGGAUGAGGACCCUGCUCAGCCAUACUCUGUCUGUCCCCUGCUCUCCCAGCCCAGCUCCACCAAGAGGAUGGAAACAGGGCCCUCUGGUGGGACAGGAAGAAAACACAGACCUGGGCG